AAAAUUUUAGUUUAAUAAAAAUAAUUCAUUUACAUAGAAUAGAUUAAUUUAUAUUAAAAUUUUA
rnacentral:tRNA from 1 species